UACAGAGGUGGCAAGCGUUGUUCGGAUUCACUGGGCAUAAAGUGUACGUAGGUGGUUUGGUAAGUUGGAUGUGAAAGACCACAGCUCAACUGGGGAAUUGCAUCCAAAACUGCCAGGCUAGAGGAUUUGGGAAGUGAGCGGAAUUCUCGGUGUAGCGGUGAAAUGCGUAGAUAUCGAGAAGAACACCAGUGGCGCAGGCGGCUCACUAUCAUUCUCCUGACACUGAGGUACGAAAGCGUGGGGAGCAAACGGG
rnacentral:misc_RNA from 1 species